rnacentral:tRNA from 1 species
GGGGUUGUGGCUCAGAGGUAGAGUGCUCAUGUAGCACAUGCAAGACCCUGGGUUCGAUCCUCAGCACCACA